rnacentral:rRNA from 1 species
GACGAACGCUGGCGGCGUGCUUAACACAUGCAAGUCGAACGGAAAGGCCCUGCUUUUGUGGGGUGCUCGAGUGGCGAACGGGUGAGUAACACGUGAGUAACCUGCCCUUGACUUUAGGAUAACUUCAGGAAACUGGGGCUAAUACCGGAUAGGAGCUCCUGCUGCAUGGUGGGGGUUGGAAAGUUUCGGCGGUUGGGGAUGGACUCGCGGCUUAUCAGCUUGUUGGUGGGGUAGUGGCUUACCAAGGCUUUGACGGGUAGCCGGCCUGAGGGGGUGACCGGCCACAUUGGGACUGAGAUACGGCCCAGACUCCUACGGGAGGCAGCAGUGGGGAAUAUUGCACAAUGGGCGGAAGCCUGAUGCAGCAACGCCGCGUGCGGGAUGACGGCCUUCGGGUUGUAAACCGCUUUCGCCUGUGACGAAGCGUGAGUGACGGUAAUGGGUAAAGAAGCACCGGCUAACUACGUG